AGCGAACGCUGGCGGCAGGCUUAACACAUGCAAGUCGAACGGAGUGGCAGACGGGUGAGUAACGCGUGGGAACGUACCUUUUGGUUCGGAACAACUGAGGGAAACUUCAGCUAAUACCGAAUACCGCAAGAUCGGCCCGCGUCUGAUUAGCUUGUUGGUGAGGUAACGGCUCACCAAGGCGACGAUCAGUAGCUGGUCUGAAGGAUGAUCAGCCACAUUGGGACUGAGACACGGCCCAAACUCCUACGGGAGGCAGCAGUGGGGAAUAUUGGACAAUGGGCGAAAGCCUGAUCCAGCCAUGCCGCGUGAGUGAUGAAGGCCCUAGGGGUGUAAAGCUCUUUUGUGCGGGAAGCGGUACCGCAAGAAUAAGCCCCGGCUAACUUCGUGCCAGCAGCCGCGGUAAUAC
rnacentral:rRNA from 1 species